rnacentral:rRNA from 1 species
GACGAACGCUGGCGGCGUGCCUAAUACAUGCAAGUAGAACGCUGAAGAGAGGAGCUUGCUCUUCUUGGAUGAGUUGCGAACGGGUGAGUAACGCGUAGGUAACCUGCCUGGUAGCGGGGGAUAACUAUUGGAAACGAUAGCUAAUACCGCAUAAAAUUGAUUAUUGCAUGAUAAUUAAUUGAAAGAUGCAAUUGCAUCACUACCAGAUGGACCUGCGUUGUAUUAGCUAGUUGAUGAGGUAACGGCUCACCAAGGCGACGAUACAUAGCCGACCUGAGAGGGUGAUCGGCCACACUGGGACUGAGACACGGCCCAGACUCCUACGGGAGGCAGCAGUAGGGAAUCUUCGGCAAUGGGGGGAACCCUGACCGAGCAACGCCGCGUGAGUGAAGAAGGUUUUCGGAUCGUAAAGCUCUGUUGUAAGAGAAGAACGGGUGUGAGAGUGGAAAGUUCACAC